UGUGUCCUUGACACAAAAUCAAGGUCCUGCAGUUCCCUGACCUGAACCAUACAGAAAAUGACUGAAGAGUAGAGAGCAGCAACAUAUGAAGGGUCUGGAGAAAUUCUGUAUGGAGGAAUAAUCUAAGAUCACCUGCCAUGAAUUUUUCAACCUCAUCAGACAUUAUAAAAGAAGACUCUGAGCUGGUAUCUUGCAAAUGGAUGUAGCAAAGAGGAUUAAAUAAAGGGGUGCCCAUAUUUAUGCCCAUAAGUGGUGAACACACAUGGAGCAGUGGGCAGCUAUUCCUUCAGUGCCCGGGGAGCAAUUGGGUUUAAGGUGCCUUGUUCAAGGACAUCACAGUCGCAACCUGCCGGCAGAGACGUUGUUACAUUCCUGUUCUGUUUCCCGUAACAGAAGAACGGACCAACAACAACAACAUGAUUUCCCCAGAGGACUACAUACUUUACAAUAUCUACCAAAAUGGAUGUCCUCUGAAGGAAAAUAUUGAGGAUUUUAUGGAAAACACAUUUGUUCCAGCACAGCUUCCAUGCACGAUCUUUGAGUCUCCACAAGGUGCAAACUAAAAAUGAACUAUUGAUUGACUUUGAACUUUGUCCAGUAAUACCACUCAUCCCUGUGAGUAGUUAUAAAUCUAUGAAUACUAGUAAACUGUUUUUUGAAUCCUCUUUGCCACCCGAACUGUGUUAUGUAGUAAUGGGAGAAACUAAGCUUUUUGAAACUUCGCAACUUGAUUCAGUUUUUUUAAGCUUUCGAAACACAACACAUGCUGGCGACACCAAACAUUUUACACUUUUUACAAAAAAGCAAGAAUUUUAUAUAAAAAUAUGUUUUUAAGCAAAAUAAAUUAUUUAACGUGAUUAAGCCAUAAUUAAAAGUGUAUUAUGUGUUUUUAGUUUUAUUUAGGGCAAACAAAUCAUUACACUAACUUCCUUUUUAAUUAUGCACAUGUUUGUAAUUUAAUCUGUCUAUAAACAAAAAGUAGAUAAAAUGGUAGUGUUAUUAGUCAGAAAAAUGAAUGUUCCAUAAACUUGUAUAAUAAAAACUGACCCAAGUUAACCUAACCAUAUUAGUUCAAAUGCC